rnacentral:tRNA from 1 species
GAGGCUGUAGCUCAGUGACAGAGCACUUGCCUAGCAUGUAUGAGGUACUGGGUUCGAUCCUUAGCACCACA